rnacentral:siRNA from 1 species
AAUUUGCAGAAACACGAUGAUGAU